rnacentral:lncRNA from 1 species
CUACUAUUACUACUUUAAUAAUCGUUAAAGCAUUUUUACAAUCAUGCUCCUUGUCAUCACUUUCAUCUCUACCAUUGCUAAAAACUAGUGUUUAUUUCACUAAUAUAGUGCUUUUUGAAAUAGUUUUAUCAUUGCUUAUCCCUCUCUACCUUUCAUUAUCUCCAUCCCUUACAUUUUAUUCUUGCCCCUUUCUCUCUCUCUCUCUCUCUCUCACUCUCAUGUUCUAUUUCUCACUUUCUUAAUCUCUUCUUAUAAAUGUUAGAAGCUAUUAUUAAAAUUUAACCACAUUCUAGAAAUUCAUCACUGUAUGCAUACAUAAGUGUGUGUGUAUAUGUAUAUAUGUAUAUAUAUAUAUAUAUAUAUAUAUACACAUAUACACACACAUGCAUGUGCACAUGCAUAUACACACACACACACUUACAUGUUAUAGAAAUGAGUAGCCCACAGAAACAUCCUGAUGUCCUGGAAGGGCUAUAUUAAGUAGAUAUAUACAUAUUUUGUUUCUAUGAGUAUAUCUGAAAUUCAUUUGACCCAUUUCAUUAUUAUACCUUGACAAUGGUCAUAGCUCCAAGUAAUUUCUACAUGAUUGUAGAGCACUCUCAGUGAGUAAAAGCUUUGAUUAGAUGAAUAUUAAGAUGUGCCUUGUGAGGUUCAUGGGUGUCUAGUUAACACACACACACACACACAACCACACUCUUUCCAUUCUAACUGGUGACAAACAUAAUCAUUCACAAAGAACUACUAAAUGAAUUGGUGAUGAUGAUGAUGAUGAUGGUAAUGAUGAUAAUGAUGAUGAUGAUGAUGAUGACAGUGAAGGGUAGAAGAAAGAAGGAAUAUCUCAACUCCUUUAUAAUUUUUUCUUUUUCUUUUCAAAAUACAACAAAUAGGGAAACAACAAAUGGAUACCAUCACCAAGUAAUUACGAGAAAAAUUGGAAUCCCCUUCAAUUAAAUCCUUCUCACCCCCUUUUUAAUUUUCUUUUAAUAAUGUAAUAUAAUUUAUAUCCAUGCUAGCAAAAUAUUUUCUUUUUCCUUGUUGGAAUCAGUUGAUUCUUUGAUUUUUUUAAAAAUGUUUGUAGUCUAUGAUGAUGGCAUUCAUCAUCAUAAUCAUUAUGCAGAUGAUAAUGAUGAUGAUAGUGAUGAUGAUAGUGAUGAUCAUGAUGAAUUAUAGUUGAGCAAAAUUAUACUACUUCAUAAGGGUAAUUUUUGGCUGUUUUUACUGAUGGUGUAUUUGUCAUUGUUAUUGGUGAUGGUAGUGGUGGUGUUUAAUGCUAGAUUGAGCAAGCAUUUGUUCAAGGCCAUUCUUUUCAUCAUUCACCAUCCUUUCAGCAUAUUAUAUGUAUGUAUGCAGGAUAUAUAUAUAUAUGCAUGUGUAAAAUCAGGGACUAAAUUGACCAAUGUAUACCUUUGUCUACCCCACACUUUUUCUUCUUUCUAUUUUAAUUGAUCCGCAAGAUAUAUUUGGCUGCUAUUUCUAGCUGUUCAAGGUACCACAUGAGGGUUCCUUUCAGAAAUAUAUCUAUCAUCUUUUGGAGGUUUGAGGGUAGGGUACCAGAAAGAAAGAGAGAGUGGGUGGGGGGAGGUAUUGUGUCUGUAUUUGAACACAAGAGGACAAAGCUUUAAUGCUUGUUUCUCAAAGAAAUCUUAAAAGAAAUCAGCCGUUAUUGUUGUUAUUAAGAUAAUUAAGUGAAUGAUUCAAGUGAAUUUUGAAAAGAGAUACAUGCGUAUUUGAGCAUCCUGUUGAAACUUUACUUUAAUCAAAGACCUCGUCCCCCUUCUCCUUCUUCUACAAAUGUUGAUAAAUUUGGGAUAUUUUAAUCUUUGGCUCUUGAGUUCAAAGUUCUUACUGGAACUAAAAAAUAAU